rnacentral:rRNA from 1 species
UUAUUGGGCGUAAGCGCGCGCAGGUGGUUUCUUAAGUCUGAUGUGAAAGCCCACGGCUCAACCGUGGAGGGUCAUUGGAAACUGGGAGACUUGAGUGCAGAAGAGGAAAGUGGAAUUCCAUGUGUAGCGGUGAAAUGCGUAGAGAUAUGGAGGAACACCAGUGGCGAAGGCGACUUUCUGGUCUGUAACUGACACUGAGGCGCGAAAGCGUGGGGAGCAAACCGGAU